rnacentral:lncRNA from 1 species
UUAAAUUUUAAAUUUUAUAAUUUUAAUUUAUAAUUUAUAAUUCAAAAUUAAAAUCUAUAUUUUUAAAUUUCAAAUUUAAAAAUUUAAAAUUAUAACUUUUAAAUUUUAAAUUUUAAAUCAAAUAUCAAACUACAAAUAUAAAAUGUCAAAUUUAAGAUUUAAAUAAUUAAAAAUAAUAAUUUAAAAUUUAAAAUUUAAAAUCUAAAUAUUAAUUUUAAAAUUUAUAAUUUAUAAUUUAUAAUUUAAAUUUAAAAUUUAAAAUUUAAAUCUAUAUUUAAAAAUCAAAUAGGGGUCCCAACCCUAUUCCAAUGGGAUAACCCAUUUGGGGUGCAAUUAGCUAACCCCACCCUCCAAAAUUUAUGUUUCAGGUUAAAGGAGGGGAUAACCCCUUUAUCCCCCCCUUUAACCCCGAACCAAACGUCACCUUUUGGGUUUAAAUGCAUACAGAUCCUUAUAAACAUAUUCAAUAGCAUAUAUAUAUUAUUAUAAAAUUUUACCUUUUAUUUUUAUUCCUGUAAAAGUCCUAAUAUUUUAAAUAUACACCUGCUGUUAAAAUCUAUCAAAAAAUUAUAGUUAACCAUAAGUAAAAUAAUUGGCCCUGAUUAAUGAAUGAGUUAUAUUAACAUUUUUACCAUUUUUAUAUUAUUAGGUAAAAUACUUCUUGGAAUGAUAUUUCUGUAUAAUUCUAACAGUUAUAUUUUUAAAAGGAUAUAUUUAUAAGGGCAAAAUAUUAUUUCACUUAUUUGCUGUUAAAAAAUAAACAGUACUCCACGAUAACAAGCCAGAGAGGCAAAUAUAGACAUCACUGGAUUUUUUAGGGGAUAAAAUUUAAAAGUUGAACUUUGUAAGGAUAUAUUUGUUAUUCAAUAUAUUUACAGGAGCUAUAUGCAAUUAACCCUUUAUUUUAAAAGACUUUUUUGGUAUCUAGU